AACCCAUGGUAAGGGCACCUUCUCAAUAGGUUCCUUGUAUCUCUCCCAUGCAUCAUAAAGAGUUUCUAAAUCAAUAUGCAUAAAAGAAGAGAUACCAUUCUUUAAUUU
rfam:Gossypium arboreum cultivar AKA8401 contig_43713_3, whole genome shotgun sequence.